AAGAAUUUAACUGACUUCUGUCUGAUUUGGGGUCAGAAUAAUUAGAUAUUUCUAAAGUACAUUGUAAGCCAAGAGACUAGGUGCUUCUCUUUCCCUUCCCCAGAUCUACAGGAAGGAUGAGGAGGAAGGAUGGGUGGAAAUUAACCAGUAUAUUAACUGACAUGACACUCUUCUCUCUACCGGGGAUCAGAAACUCUCUUUGAGAAAUCUGUCUCAAGACUAUAUGACACAGAAAUCCAGCCUGAGUUCCAGCUUGCUAGCCAGCUCUACACGUAAGCCCAUCAGUUAGCACAAGAUCUCGGCGCUGCUACUUUGGUUCCUGAGACCGUCCUGUUUCCGGGGGAAGCACACUUUACCUGAUAAUUCAAGGAGCCACUGAUGAGCCUUCAGACUGUCCCCUAAGUGGUUUUCCCUCCUGCGUUCCUCUUCUUGGUAUCUUUCCCAUUGAACAUAUAUCUUCACCUAUACUGAAUCCUUCCAGAGGCUUCUCUCAACCAGAGUGUUCACAAAAGCUCUUAUUGAACUGAAAUAAGUUCGGUCCGGAUGUCCUUUACUAUUAUUAUUAUUAUUAUUAUUAUUAUUAUUUCCUUACAUUCACACUUACUUGGGGUAAACAGCAGUCCCGCGCCCAGCUCCCCACGAAUCAACAUUCUGAGGUUCCGCUCUAAGAAGAAUAUCUGUAUUGCCAAAAUUUUGUUUUGAAAACAUAAGAACAACAAAACCAAGAAACGAGGGAACAUUUCUUUAAUAUCCAUGCCCACCGAAGGGUUCAUCUCCCAGGUAUAGCCUACGGGCGGACUGGGGAAAUUACAUGAUCACGUUUGAGAGGACACCUUCUCCCAUUUCUGUCUCUGUGGUGCAAUCAGUUAGCGUGUUCAGCUAUUAACCGAAAGGUUGGUGGUUCGAGCCCGCCCAGGGACGGGUACCUCCCUCUAAGGACCCAGUGGUAGUUCCUACCGAAGUUUUGUCAGACAUCUCUGAACAUUCUCACAAAUGAAAGUCUACCUAAGACAGCUACCCCGGGCGUCUUGGCAAAGGGUUAAGUGUCCUCUGGUUCAGCAAUUAAAUAUCGACUGAA